GUGUCAGCCGCCGCGGUAAUACAGAGGGUGCAAGCGUUGUUCGGAAUUAUUGGGCGUAAAGCGCGUGUAGGCGGCGUGACAAGUCGGGUGUGAAAGCCCUCAGCUCAACUGAGGAAGUGCGCCCGAAACUGUCGUGCUUGAGUGCCGGAGAGGGUGGCGGAAUUCCCCAAGUAGAGGUGAAAUUCGUAGAUAUGGGGAGGAACACCGGUGGCGAAGGCGGCCACCUGGACGGUAACUGACGCUGAGACGCGAAAGCGUGGGGAGCAAACAGGAUUAGAUACCCUCGUAGUCC
rnacentral:rRNA from 1 species